rnacentral:lncRNA from 1 species
ACACCAGUAUAGAAUCUAAAUGGUUUAGGAUGAAGGAGCUUUUGGUUGCCAAACUUAAUACAAAUUGGAGUAUGGUCAGAUACAGAGGGAUUAAGGAACUCAGCUUCAAUAUGCCCAUAUUGCUGCACCCAUUGAAAAUUUCCCAAAGCCCAAUCAAUCUUACUAUAUACAUGUUUGUUUGUCCAAGUAUAGUUCCACCCUAUCCUUCUUAGAGGUGUUAGUUGCAAAUCAUAAAUGAGUUGUUUAAAACCCCUAACCUCAGCAUCAGUCACUAUAGAACCAAUUCUAUCCUCAGUUGAUAGAACAUUACUAAAAUCACCACUAAGUAACCAUGUGUCUUGGCUAGGAAUAGAGACAGCUUUGAGA